CAGGCUCCAGUUGGAAUUAGUAACCACCGAGGGUCCCGGCUCAGUGCUCCAGAAGAGAAGAUGUGUGGGGGGCUGACACACCUUUCCAAUAUGGGAUCACAUGUCCCAUCCUUGCAGCUUGGGCAGAUGAAUUGUAACAGUCAAGAUGGAAACAUAUAUCCACCAGCUCCAUUCCAGGCAGGAUUUAUUCCUUCUCGGCAUGGUGGGACUCCAGCCCGACCACCAGACUUUCCUGAAAGCUCUGAAAUUCCUCCCAGUCACAUUUAUCACUCAUACAAGUAUCUGAAUCGAGUACACCCUGCUGUUUGGAAUGGGAACCAUGGUACUACAAACCCUGGACGAUUGGGGCCAGAUGAGAAGCCCCUCGUGGGGCCAGGAGCCUCUCACCACCCUCAUGCCCUUGGUCAUAUGAUGGAUGGCCGAGUGAUGAGACAACCUAUCCCACCAAACCAGUGGACUAAACAAUCAAGCUUUCUACCUCCCGGAGUUCCUUCCUCGGGGUAUAUGCAGCCACCCUGUAAGUCUGCUGGACAUCGAUUGCAGCC
rnacentral:lncRNA from 1 species